GUCGCGCGCGAAAGGGGGGCAACCCCCGAGUAGAGCGGCGAACGGGUGAGUAACGCGUGGGUGAUCUGCCUCCGAGUGGGGAAUAACAGCGGGAAACUGCUGCUAAUACCGCAUGACAUCCUCGAGUCGUAUCGGGGAUCAAAGCCGGGGACCGCAAGGCCUGGCGCUUGGAGAUGAGCCCGCGUCCGAUUAGCUAGUAGGCGGGGUAACGGCCCACCUAGGCGACGAUCGGUAGCCGGCCUGAGAGGGCGGACGGCCACACUGGGACUGAGACACGGCCCAGACUCCUACGGGAGGCAGCAGUGGGGAAUUUUUCGCAAUGGGGGAAACCCUGACGAAGCAACGCCGCGUGGAGGAUGAAGGCCUUCGGGUCGUAAACUCCUGUCGACUGGGAAGAAAGCACCGCGACCCAAUACGUCGAGGUGUUGACUGUACCGGUGGAGGAAGCCACGGCUAACUCUGUGCCAGCAGCCGCGGUAAUACAGAGGUGGCAAGCGUUGUUCGGAAUUACUGGGCGUAAAGGGCGCGUAGGCGGUUUGCCAAGUCCCGUGUGAAAGCCCCCGGCUCAACCGGGGAACGGCGCGGGAAACUAGCGGGCUUGAGUUCGGGAGAGGGAAGCGGAAUUCCGGGUGUAGCGGUGAAAUGCGCAGAUAUCCGGAGGAACACCGGUGGCGAAGGCGGCUUCCUGGACCGACACUGACGCUGAGGCGCGAAAGCUAGGGGAGCAAACGGGAUUAGAUACCCCGGUAGUCCUAGCCCUAAACGAUGAGCACUGGGUGUAGAGGGUAUGAACCCCUUCUGUGCCGAAGCUAACGCAUUAAGUGCUCCGCCUGGGGAGUACGGUCGCAAGGCUGAAACUCAAAG
rnacentral:rRNA from 1 species